GAUAAACGCUAGCGGCAGGCUUAACACAUGCAAGUCGAGGGGCAGCAUAGAUUGUAGCAAUACAAUUGGUGGCGACCGGCGCACGGGUGCGUAACGCGUAUGCAACCUACCCGUCACAGGGGGAUAAUCCGGAGAAAUCUGGUCCAAUACCCCAUAACAUAUGGAUCGGCAUCGGUUCAUGUUGAAAUUUUCGGAGGUGACGGAUGGGCAUGCGUAGCAUUAGCUUGUUGGUGAGGUAACGGCUCACCAAGGCGACGAUGCUUAGGGGGACUGAGAGGUUUUCCCCCCAAACUGGUACUGAGACAAGGACCAGACUCCUACGGGAGGAAGCAGUGAGGAGUAUUGGUCAAUGGGCGCAAGCCUGAACCAGCCAUGCCGCGUGCAGGAUGACGGCUCUAUGAGUUGUAAACUGCUUUUGUACGAGGGUAAAGUGGGUUACGUGUAACCUUUUGAAAGUAUCGUACGAAUAAGGAUCGGCUAACUCCGUGCCAGCCGCCGCGGUAA
rnacentral:rRNA from 1 species